UACGAAGGGGGCGAGCGUUGUUCGGAUUUACUGGGCAUAAAGCGCACGUAGGCGGUGCCGUAAGUCGGGUGUGAAAUCCCUCGGCCUAACCGAGGAACUGCGCCCGAUACUGCGGUGCUUGAGGACCAGAGGGGUGCAUGGAAUUUCCGGUGGAGCGGUGAAAUGCGUUGAUAUCGGAAGGAACUCCGGCGGCGAAAGCGAUGCACUGGCUGGUUUCUGACGCUGAGGUGCGAAAGCCAGGGGAGCAAACGGG
rnacentral:rRNA from 1 species